rnacentral:rRNA from 1 species
UAAUACGUAGGAUCCGAGCGUUGUCCGGAAUUACUGGGUGUAAAGGGCGUGUAGGUGGAUUCCUAAGUCGGUGGUGAAAUCCUGCAGCUUAACUGCAGAAUUGCCUUCGAAACUGGGGAUCUUGAGUGCGGCAGAGGGAGAUGGAAUUCAUGGUGUAGCGGUGAAAUGUGUAGAUAUCAUGAAGAACACCGGUAGCGAAGGCGGUCUCCUGGUCCGCAACUGACACUGAUGCGCGAAAGCGUGGGGAGCAAACAGGAUUAGAUACCCUGGUAGUCCACGCCUUAAACGAUGGGUACUAGGUGCUGGGCCGCAAGGUUCAGUGCCAAAGCUAACGCAUUAAGUACCCCACCUGGGGAGUACGAUCGCAAGGUUGAAACUUAAAGGAAUUGACGG